rnacentral:rRNA from 1 species
ACCUGAUCCAGCCAUGCCGCGUGUGUGAAGAAGGCCCUCGGGUUGUAAAGCACUUUCAGCGAGGAAGAACGCCUAGCGGUUAAUACCCGCUAGGAAAGACAUCACUCGCAGAAGAAGCACCGGCUAACUCCGUGCCAGCAGCCGCGGUAAUACGGAGGGUGCAAGCGUUAAUCGGAAUUACUGGGCGUAAAGCGCGCGUAGGUGGCUUGAUAAGCCGGUUGUGAAAGCCCCGGGCUCAACCUGGGAACGGCAUCCGGAACUGUCAAGCUAGAGUGCAGGAGAGGAAGGUAGAAUUCCCGGUGUAGCGGUGAAAUGCGUAGAGAUCGGGAGGAAUACCAGUGGCGAAGGCGGCCUUCUGGACUGACACUGACACUGAGGUGCGAAAGCGUGGGUAGCAAACAGGAUUAGAUACCCUGGUAGUCCACGCCGUAAACGAUGUCGACCAGCCGUUGGGUGCCUAGCGCACUUUGUGGCGAAGUUAACGCGAUAAGUCGACCGCCUGGGGAGUACGGCCGCAAGGUUAAAACUCA